rnacentral:rRNA from 1 species
GACGAACGCUGGCGGCGUGCCUAACACAUGCAAGUCGAACGGGGUGAUCCUUCGGGGUCACUUAGUGGCGAACGGGUGAGUAACGCGUGAGAAACCUGCCUCUCAGUGGGGGACAACAGUUGGAAACGACUGCUAAUACCGCAUAAUGUAUUCGGAGGGCAUCCUCUGGAUACCAAAGCUUUAUGUGCUGAGAGAUGGUCUCGCGUCUGAUUAGCUAGUUGGCGGGGUAACGGCCCACCAAGGCGACGAUCAGUAGCCGGUCUGAGAGGAUGAACGGCCACAUUGGGACUGAGAUACGGCCCAGACUCCUACGGGAGGCAGCAGUGGGGAAUAUUGGGCAAUGGGGGAAACCCUGACCCAGCAACGCCGCGUGAAGGAAGAAAGGCCUUCGGGUUGUAAACUUCUUUUACCAGGGACGAAGAACGUGACGGUACCUGGAGAAAAAGGACAACGGCUAACUACGUG